rnacentral:rRNA from 1 species
CAUGCUUUUGACGGGUAACGGGGAAUUAGGGUUCGACUCCGGAGAGGGAGCCUGAGAAACGGCUACCACAUCCAAGGAAGGCAGCAGGCGCGCAAAUUACCCAAUCCCAACAUGGGGAGGUAGUGACAAGAAAUACUGAUAUAGGGUCCUAUAGGAUCUUGUAAUUGGAAUGAGUACAAUUUAAACCCAUUAACGAGGAACAACUAGAGGGCAAGUCUGGUGCCAGCAGCCGCGGUAAUUCCAGCUCUAGUAGCAUACAUUAAAAUUGUUGCAGUUAAAACGCCCGUAGUUGAAGUUUAGGUCCUUAUCAUCUGGUCUGCCUCACCGCUAGUACUGGUAUGAUUGGGCCUUUUUUCUUGGUAAACUGUUAUGCCCUUUAUUGGGUGUGGCAGUGAACUAGGACUUUUACUUUGAAAAAAUUAGAGUGUUUAAAGCAGGCUUUUGCUCGAAUACCUUAGCAUGGAAUAAUGGAAUAUGACGAGUGGUUGUUUUUCAUUGGUUUUCACGACUACCGUAAUGAUUGAUAGGGAUGGUCGGGGGCAUCGGUAUUC